rnacentral:rRNA from 1 species
CGAACGGGUGAGUAACACGUGGGUGACCUGCCCUUAGCUCUGGGAUAAGCCUGGGAAACUGGGUCUAAUACCGGAUAUGACUCCAUGACGCAUGUUGUGGGGUGGAAAGCCUUGUGCGGCUAGGGAUGGGCCCGCGGCCUAUCAGCUUGUUGGUGGGGUGAUGGCCUACCAAGGCGACGACGGGUAGCCGGCCUGAGAGGGCGACCGGCCACACUGGGACUGAGACACGGCCCAG